UACACUCCUACGGGAGGCAGCAGUGGGGAAUAUUGGACAAUGGGCGCAAGCCUGAUCCAGCCAUGCCGCGUGAGUGAUGAAGGCCCUAGGGUUGUAAAGCUCUUUCACCGGUGAAGAUAAUGACGGUAACCGGAGAAGAAGCCCCGGCUAACUUCGUGCCAGCAGCCGCGGUAAUACGAAGGGGGCUAGCGUUGUUCGGAUUUACUGGGCGUAAAGCGCACGUAGGCGGACUAUUAAGUCAGGGGUGAAAUCCCGGGGCUCAACCCCGGAACUGCCUUUGAUACUGGUAGUCUUGAGUUCGAAAGAGGUGAGUGGAAUCCCGAGUGUAGAGGUGAAAUUCGUAGAUAUUCGGAGGAACACCAGUGGCGAAGGCGGCUCACUGGCUCGAUACUGACGCUGAGGUGCGAAAGCGUGGGGAGCAAACAGGAUUAGAUACCCCUGUAGUCCCA
rnacentral:rRNA from 1 species